AUCAACCUAAAAUCUAGAGUUUUCAUGGUCGAAUUAGGGGUUAGGGUAGAAACUAGAGAUUUCGGAAAUUUGGGGAUUUAGACCUCGAUUUAAGGUCGAAUUACAAAAUUAAUUAAAUAUUCGGGCUCGGGGGUGAAUGGGUAAAUAGAUUUUAGUCCGCACCUCGGGUUUUGACCAAGCGGGCCCGGGGUCAAUUUUUGACUUUUUAGAGGAAAAUUUGGGAAAUCUGUAAUUAUUCAUUAAAGUUGAUUCCUUUAGCAAUGUUUUAUAUUAUUGAGUCAUUUUUGAAUAGAUACGAGUGGUUUGGAGGUGAAUUCCAAAGGAAAAGCUGUGAUUGAGAAUUAAGUGGCCUUCAGAGCGAGGUAAGUGUCGUGUCUAACUUUGGCUUGAGGGAAUAGAUAUUAUGUGUUUAUUUGCUACGUGUUUGAUUAUUAAAUACGAUGUAUACGUGAGGUGACGAGCAUCUAUUCGUCACUGUAGAGUUAUAGCAUGCGAGUGAAAUUCUAUUCUUGUCUAUUUUGUAGUCUUAAAUUCUACUAUCCAUGCUUAGCGGGUUAUUUGAAAUGUUGGGUGACUUAUAUCUAGUUUCACUGAGAUUUGGUAACUUUCGAAUAUUUAUUCAAGGUUGAGGUUACAUUGUGCUAUUGAUUAUGGGUAAAAUACUGGUUUUUUUGUGAUACUCCUAUCUAACCGUUGUUAUUGAUUAUGUGAUUUGUGAGGAGGAGGGUAAAACACGAAGGGUGAUGCCGUGCAUGCAUUAUUUAUAUUGUGAGGUAGAGUGUAAAGCACGAAGGGUGAUGCCGUGUAUAUUAUGAGAGGUUUAAUGCACGAAGGGUGAUGUCGUGCCAUUCUAUUUAUUUAUUUGGUGAGGUUGAGAGUAAAAGCACGAAGGGUGAUGCCGUGCAGUUUUACUUUCCUAUUUUAUUUUCUCAAUUGGUUUAAGGAUUUUUGGUUGAAUUCUGUCUUUUCAUUAUUCUCACUCUUUAUAUUGUAUUCCCUCACUGUAUGUCCCCUUCCCAUUAUUUCUGCGUUAUUUCUUUAUUUACUAUUGUUGCCACUAGCAUGAUUAUACUGUUCAUGUUAUAUGUGGGUGUCUUGUCCUAGCCUCGUCACUACUUCGUCAAGGUUAGACUCGACACUUACCAUUAUAUGGGGUCGGUUAUACUGAUGCUGCACUCUACACUUUCUGUGCAGAUUUUGGUACUGGCUCAGGUUGAUCGAGAUUUUUCUAUUGGUCCGCUGUCCGGAGACUCAAGGUAUAUCUGUCGGCGUUCACAGACCUUGAAGUCCCUGUCUAUCUUUUAUGUCGUACUGUUUUCUUUCAUUCAAACAGUUGUAUUUCUUUCAUACUACAACUUGUAGUAAAUUCUAGAAUGCUCGUGAAUUGUAACUCCAAAUCCGGGUGGUAGUAAUUAAUACACUUUUAUAAUAUUUUGCAC
rnacentral:lncRNA from 1 species